ACAGGAUUAGAUACCCUGGUAGUCCACGCCGUAAACGGUGGGCACUAGUUGUGGGAACCUUCCACGGUUUCUGCGACGCAGCUAACGCAUUAAGUGCCCCGCCUGGGGAGUACGAUCGCAAGAUUAAAACUCAAAGGAAUUGACGGGGCCCCGCACAAGCAGCGGAGCAUGCGGCUUAAUUCGACGCAACGCGAAGAACCUUACCAAGGCUUGACAUAUACAGGAAUAUGGCAGAAAUGUCAUAGCCGCAAGGUCUGUAUACAGGUGGUGCAUGGUUGUCGUCAGCUCGUGUCGUGAGAUGUUGGGUUAAGUCCCGCAACGAGCGCAACCCUCGUUCUGUGUUGCCAGCAUUUAGUUGGGGACUCACAGGAGACUGCCGGGGUUAACUCGGAGGGAGGUGGGGAUGACGUCAAAUCAUCAUGCCCCUUAUGUCUUGGGCUGCACGCAUGCUACAAUGGCUGGUACAAACGGCUGCGAUACCGCAAGGUGGAGCGAAUCCGAUAAAGCCAGUCUCAGUUCGGAUUGGGGUCUGCAACUCGACCCCAUGAAGUCGGAGUUGCUAGUAAUCGUAGAUCAGCAACGCUACGGUGAAUACGUUCCCGGGGCUUGUACACACCGCCCGUCACGUCACGAAAGUCGGUAACACC
rnacentral:rRNA from 1 species